AGUGCCUUCCACCUUAAGCUUCACCUCAUCCAUUAUCCACAGCUCCUUUGUAACACAGGUUUUGAGCUGAUCUCCUCCUGUUAAGCUGUGCAAGCUGAUCCAUACCAGGCACCUGAAGGAGCAGUAUCAAAGGCAAACAAUUCACCUCUGGGACCCAGCUGCUUACAAGGUGCAGAGAGAAAGAUUCUAAAAGACAGCAAUAAAGAGGACGUGGGUGCAGGGGGAGGAGGAAGGAGAGGAGGGGUACGUAUGUCACAGCUUACCUCAGAGCCAGAAUUAGAAGCUGGGUUAAAAAAAAUAAAAUCACAGCAGGAAAUAAUGUGUGGCUUAAAAUAGCAACAUCAAAUGGGAGCGAGAAUGGGGAGUGGGUGGCAUUUGAGGUUGCUGCUCUGUUCCUCCCUCAAUGGCAGGGUGAUUAAUAUGUCUAUGCUACUUGUGUUUAUGUAACAAAGGGCACUAAAGGCCAAAGCUGUAUUUUCUCCAACACUGCAGGGGAGUCUGUGAAUCUUUUCUUCUCCCCGUGGCAUUAAGUGGGAGGAUCUGCACUUGUGCUUCCUGCCCCAGAAACAGAGAAUAUCCACACUGCAGCAGCGCACGCAGUUACGUUUCCAUGGCUUGGCAGGAUGGAAUAGAGACAUUUAAGGCUUUGAAGGCGCUUGUCUGUCUUUCAUUGCUCCUCAGAGAAAGCUCAUUCCCAGAGCACACCUGUAAAUGUGGCUGGGUUGUCUCUGGCUGCAGGCUGCACUGUAAUAGUAGGCGAAGUACCACUGCGUGUUACUGCACAUUUCUCUGCUUGUUCUGUGUAUUUGUAGUGAAUCACAGAUCUUUGAGAUGGGUAAUGCAGCCCAUUUCCUUGCCAGCUCAGGGCUGUUCCCAGCCAUAUAAAUUAAUCCCUCACGUUUGUCUUGGGAGUCUGUGGCACAGACUGAUCAGUCUUUUUGCUAUAUACCUUGUACAUUGGGAGCUAUAUUAAAGACAGGAAAGCACUCACAGUUUUGCUAAGGAAGGAAUAUUUCUUUUGGGUGCAUGAGGAAGUAACCCACUACACCACCAGUCAUUGACAGUGCUGAAGUAACCUAGAAAAGCACCAAGUGAUGGCACUUGUUUUUUAGACUAAUCUGAUCUCUUCUGGACUAAUAAGCAGAACAAGCCUGCUCUGAACUUGUGGAGAAAGGUGGGAGAGUGUGCAAAGGGAGCCAUAAGGGGUGUAGGAAGGCUGCUCUGUGGCUGGGACAUACCUGGUACCUCCAGCUCAUCAGAAUGACAGCGUGGUACUCAAGCCAAAGCACACCUGGUCCCCUCAGUCCAAAGGCAAAAACAGGGCUUUUCUUCACCAGUGAGCAAAAUGCGUCAGCCCGCCGUCCUGCACUCCUAUCAAAAGGUCAGUCUGGGGCAAAUAGCACAGGACCAGCUUUGUCAUGUGAUGAAAACCUGCUGCACAGACCUGAUUCUCUGUUACACUCAGGCUUCGGUGACUAUCUUUGACAUAAGCUGGGAUACGCUGCUGUCAGGGGAAGGAGAAUCAGGCCCAGCUCUGAUGCAUAUCUUCCCACAGGCAGGCAGAGCAGCGCAAUUUGUUUAAACAUGGCAUGCUGGUGGCUGUAGACAGAGAUCACUCCCAGCAACUCAAUCAACAUGCAUAAUAUUCUGCUAGUUAAAUCCAACCGUGGUAAAUAUCUCCACCGUGCUAUCCCUCCAAGCAAAUAUAGUACCUGCAUGGAAGAAAUUCCUCAAGACGUUUCCUGUCUGGAGCCAGAGCUUGCCAGGGACUGAAUUUCCUGUGAGGCUGGAGUUGGGAAUGCAAAGCAAAGAAGCUAACAAGAAAAUGCAAUGGUACGCAUUUGGACCUGCUCUCCAAAGAUCCUCCCCAGUGAGCGCAUUUUUCCCGUUUAAAUAAAAAUGAAGCAGUCAGAUCUGCAAAUACCGGCUGGGUUAUUUUUCAUUUGUGAUUCUUAUUUUUACCUCCCUGCUUCUCUUUCUGCCUAUUUUUUCCAGCUGCGAUUCUGUGACUUACACAUCCUGAAAAUGAAAGGGCUUGUUUUUGCCAAUAGCAAAGUGCUAUGCAUCCUUUCAACCAUCUGGAAAUAUAUUUUUUAUUCUUCCUCUCUCCCAACCACACACGCACGUGCACACACACAACCAAGCCUUUGUCUCUCGGAAUCAUUUCCCGCACCAAAGCUGAUGCUCAUGAAAAGAAUUCAGUGAAAAAGUUCCAGCGGCAUUCAAGGGCUGAAUCAACAGGGCAACUUCCUGGGCACUCGUUCUCAUCCAAACUGCCACCUCAUGAGGAAGAGAUGAAUGCAACGGAGCAUAGAGUUCAGCGGCAGGCGAUUAGGAGAAGUAACGUCUCCUGUUCUUCUGUCCUGGCUCUGCUGCAAAUCUCCUGUCAUUAGAAGUGAGUCGUCUACCUGCUCAGUGCCUUGGCUAUAAAUAGAGAUAUGGAUGCUUUUAACCCCAUGUGAUGAUCGAUGCAUUCAUGUUUGUAAUGUGAGCUGAUGUCCAGAGAUGAAAGAAGUAAUCUGAAGUGAAAAUUACCAUGAUAGCUCUGUGCUGAGACUAAUAGAGUCAAGCAGGACAGACUGGGAGCCAGAGACUAGACUUGAUCGUCUCUCGCCCAGAGGCAAAUGUGAAGUGAGCUAUGUCACCACGCUAUCCAGAUGACUGCAGGUCUGCAAGAGGAGACAAAGAGGCAGAGCCAUACUGGCUGGUACAAACACGCUUACGGUGGCCAGCUGAGAAUGAGUAACAGCUGCUUGCUCAUCAUCCUGAUUUCUGUCACUACUAGUGUUUCUGAACGCUGAAGUGUCCCAGUGCUGUGACUCAGGGCUGUGAGUCAUGGGCUGUAUGUCUCUACCACAUGGAAUCACUCACUUGCUCUCUCAGAUGAGAUUGCAGAAAUCGCAGAUCAUCUUGGGUCUCCUACAGUGGUAGGUCUUAACUUAUAGGCAGAUAUUUAUAAAUGUAUCCAGAAAAGAUUCAUUCUUCCUCCCCUGACAGUCUAUCAGGAAUUCAUGUUAGAGACCAGUUUCACACACACACCAAAAUAUUAAGUAAAAAAGUAGAAGUCUCUUUUUCCUUGUGUGGACAUAUAAUUCCUGUAUCUCCAAACCAAGCUCUAGGAAAUCCUGUCUAGAUGAGAAGCAGUGCAGGCAGCAUUCAGCCUCUUGUCUCCCCUGCUUUUGCUGGGCUCAUCUUUAGACCUGUGAUGCUGACAGCAGGACAACACGCUCCUUUUUGGCUCCUCAUCUGCCUUCUCCUUGCCCACAUUCUCCAGCAUUCCUGGAAGGUGUUGUGCUGGUGUGAAGCUGUGGCAAAGAUCUACUCUCACUGCUCCCAGUUGGUCUGGAUCCUCCCCCCCCAAACCAGAUAAAAGAUGGAGGUAAUCUCUCUGAGAGAACUUUCUGUUUGUUGAGGCAGGAUGAGUACUCUUGUACAGUCUGAAUGAAUGCAGACAACUCCGGGACCCAUAAUAGGAAAGCAAACACAAUACUCCAAGCACAGGGACUCCCAAGUGAUAGGAAGUGACUUCAGCACACCAGUUCCUCUAUUCCCGUAACUCUCUGUGGGUUUGCCAAUAAUCCUUAUCGUCUUUGCUGAGAAAGGAGUGCCUUUGCUAACUGAUUACAUCCUCCUUUCCUUACUGUGGUCAGCUGGUUGCUGCAUGCCAGAAGCAGCUGGCAUGAUUGAUAGAUAAACAUAUGUCUCAGGGUAUUCUCCCUUGUCAGCUAUAACCAUAUCCAGCUCUGCAGCAGUUCUAGAAAGGGGUGAAACAACACAGAGCAGUUUUGUCACCAAUACUGUUUUCUAGAAACACUAACUCAGCAGAUCUCCACUUUUUUUCAUACUUUCAAUCAAAGUAGCGCAGAUCUCUGUGCAGGACAGUCACAGCCAUCCCUAUCUCCCCUGACCAGAGCUUGUCCCACAGCCCAGCAGACAAGGCAGUUCAUCUGCAGGACCAAGAAGAUGCAGGGCUGCAAGGGACCCUGAGACGCCAGGUUUGAAGUGACCCUCUCAGCUCCUGCCCAUGCCCCACAGCCAGGCUGCACUUGGUCUAGCAAUGCAACCUAUGACCAGCCGAGAAACAUCCCCAAGCCGAGUCUUUUGAGAAUGAGCAUGAGUGCAUUUGUUCUGGAAUUUUGGCAGGUUUGAUUAAAGCUCUGGGUACCUUGACUUCAAAAUUUUUGGGUAGCCUGGAGGCAUUCUUUGAAUGCAACAGUACAGUCCAAUUAAGUAAUAAAAUGCUUCAGGACCACCUCUGCUCCAAGCACAUCAUCCUCUUUUAAACAGCACAUCACGAUAAGAGGCAUCUCAGGUCAAAUUCCUCUUUGAUUUGAGUCACUAGAGUGACAUCAGAGAUGGACUUAGCCCAGUUAGCUAAGAGACUAGGAGAUGGCCAGUUGUGUUUAUUUUUUCUUCUCGUUUCGGUUCCUGGAAUCUGGUUUAAAGAUGUGGCCCUUCCCUUGCUGUGAGCUCACGCCGUGAAGUGGGCAGGAAUGCUCAAAUGGCAUCUUCUUUGACCUUUGUGGGACUGAGAUGACUGUGGUUGCUUUUUGAAGGCUUCUGAGAAGCUCCCAGCAGCAGCUUCUGUACCCAAUCCCCUGAACUGCAUCUGCAGCAUCCAGCUACGGUCCCUCCGGAGGGCAGUGUGGCUCUCAGUGACGACACUACGCUCUUAAUUUGUUCCAGUCUGUUUCACGCUGACAUUUUAGCACUGACGUCAUCAGCUGCUGAAAUUUCAUUGCUGCUGCUAAGAAUAACAGCCCUUCUUAUCCCCCCACCUUACACCAAAUAGUUAUUUAUUAAUACAGCAAGGAUACAGGCUUAUCCUUUCUGACACAAAUCAGGUUCUGGUGGUUACGAGAAGUAAGAACAAAGCACAGAAGGUGCCUGCAUGUUCUGUCAGGCUGGGACAACAAACAAACAACAGCAACAAAAACCAACACAAGAGCAUAUUUACAAAAAGAGCCCUUCAAAACCCAAUGGCAAAAACUCAGACCGAUUUGUUUUAAGCCUUCCUCACUGGACAAUCUUAGGCACAAUGCAUUGCUUCAGUAGCCUAGGCUACAGCCCACUCCAGAAGUCACACACAGAGCCCUUUCCAAAUUCUCCCAGGCUUUGUACGUUGUAUAUUUGCUUAUAGCGGCGCAGUGUGGGCGUAAAACGCUGUGAAAUCAGAAUUCCCCAUUGACUUUGGGGCCCGAACCAAAUCCUAUUGAUUUCCGUGGGAGGAUUUCCAUUAACUUGAAUGGGCAUCGAAUCAAACCUAAAUUGGCAGUGCUCUGCACCCAUUUGGCAUAGUGUGUUUGUCUGCAUAAGGUAGAGAAUUAGUCCAAAGACACUGAGAAAUGCUUUAAUUAAGAACAUUAUUGAAGAGAGAGAGAGCUUUUCCAUCCUUAUGCUGAUAAACUGCAUUUGUUCUACACUCCUAAUGGCAAGGGGUCAUAUUUUCAGAUGCUUGGUCUAAAGAUGAAGCUGAGUGCCGAGAAGACUUCCAAAAAGAUGCUUAAAGGGAAAUGAGGUGCUGGGAAGCUCUUGAAAUCAACAGGUCUGUUAACUUACUUACGUGUUUUGAAGAUCCUUGGAGGUGCCUAUCUGCAUCUUUGGUAGCCUUAUAAAUCCAACCAGCAGUCAUUAACCCCUGACAUCAGCUGCGGGUUUGGUUGUCCACCACACCGGCCCAGCUCCUCCUAUCCCAGUAACACAGGCGGCGUGGUUGGUUCAGGUUGGAGCUGGGACAAAGGCUCCCUGCAGACAGCACAGCUCAGUGACUCUUUACCGGCACACUCAGCGGGGCCGCGGCUGCAGCCACCUGUCCUCCAUCACACCUCUGCCAGGCCAUUCAGAUGGGGCAGCCGCUCCACAGCUUCCCCUGGGCUCAGGUAACUGAAGCCCUCAAGAACCAGACACGCAGAGAUCCUGGAAAUGUUAUUUUCAGGCAGCGCAGGGGAAGCCAGCAGCUAGCUGAGCUUCCGUUCCAGGAGCAAUCUGAACCUAGACAGACCCGCAUCCGGUCAGGGGGAGAAUUCUUAAAACUUCUUUGUUACCGCUUUCCCAUCAACUAUGAGGUCUGUAGCAUCAUUUCCUGUAUUGCUGCUGACCCUCUUGGGGCGCCUUCCCGUGCUGCCUGACCUUCUGCAACCGUUGCACUCUUUACCUCAGCAAGUGCCUUUACUGCGAUUAAGGAAAGUUCUGGGAGCUGGCCUUUCCAAUGGAUGCUUUGCUUGUUGGCUGCAGUACUUUGCCUGGCUGUUAUUUUUCACUUGGACCUGAGUGCUUGGCACGGUCUCUCUGGAAAGCACAGGGAGACCGAUCGGGAGACGUGAAAGACAACAUCGAUGCUCACGAAUCUGAGGGACUGCAAGAGGGGAGCCCAGCACUUUCACACUCAGAUGGAAGCCUUCCCCUGAAGGGAUUCUUCACGGGGAAACCAUCCAGAAAAAGUAGGUGCUGGAGAGGAAAGCGAAGAGAAAGUGAAAGGGUUCCCAAAGCCAGAACGAACAUGGAGGUGAGGAUUUCUCCUGGUCUCUGGAAGCUAUUUACGUCCAGCUGGGAUCACCAGCGAGGUCGCUUGCUGCUGGGCUGGAGAACAGCGCCCUGGGCUGACACAGUCCCCUCGGACCCGCUCAGAGCCCAAGGGACGGCUGCUGCCACCUGACUUCCUCACGCCCCCGUGCUAAUUUCUUCCUCCCCAUGAGUAAUUUCCCUGCACCUCCUCCCACACACCCCCCCCAGUUCCUCGCACUGUGCAUUUUUAUGCACAAAGGGAAUGUGCUAGAUUACGCCACCUGCUACUGGAAUAAGCACCAGGUAAAGGGAAAGGAAUGCGCAGAGGGAUGUGACCCGUGCAAGCCAGGGGACAAACAUUCCCGCCUGGCACUGGCAGGGAGCGGGAGCAGCUCUCUAAGCAGCUCUUGCUGACAAAACCCCACUUUCCGGGUUAAAGGCUGGAUGUGCUGCCUGCACCAAAAGGAGCCAUCUAAUUAAAGAUCACCGGAAACCACACGCAUUUGCAGAAAUGGCCUCACUUCAGAGGGAUCUCUCGAGGCAAAUAACUCGGUCAUUUUUCAAGGGCUCACACGUUUGUGGAAAUAAGCCUCAGCAGCCACACUCAUGAGGAGCGAGGCACAAGUGUUUUCAAUCCCGUACUGCGGGGCACGAGCUGACGCUCCACUGGGGGUCAGGAAAGCAUUUCCUCCCGGAGGAUAUUAUCGUUCUGCGAGGUACCUCAUGGGAGAUGCGUGCCUUCCUCCCAAAUACUGCCCUUAACCAUCAUUAUUAUUAUUAAAAAAAAAAAAAAAAAAAAGAGAGAGAGAGGGAGAGAGGGAGAGAGAGAAAUUACGAGGAGGAGAGGAGAAGGAAAAGGGGGAAGAAAAAAAAAGGGGGGGGGGAGAAAAGAAAUAAUCCCUCAACCAGGCGCGUUCGGGCCCAACGCUCCCACACCACCCCACCCCACCGGGGCGCGGGCAGGGCGCGGGCGCGGCCCCA